rnacentral:rRNA from 1 species
GAUGAACGCUGGCGGCGUGCCUAAUACAUGCAAGUCGAGCGAACAGACGAGGAGCUUGCUCCUCUGACGUUAGCGGCGGACGGGUGAGUAACACGUGGAUAACCUACCUAUAAGACUGGGAUAACUUCGGGAAACCGGAGCUAAUACCGGAUAAUAUAUUGCACCGCAUGGUUCAAUAGUGAAAGACGGUUUUGCUGUCACUUAUAGAUGGAUCCGCGCCGCAUUAGCUAGUUGGUAAGGUAACGGCUUACCAAGGCAACGAUGCGUAGACGACCUGAGAGGGUGAUAGGCCACACUGGAGCUGAGACAGGGUCCAGACUCCUGCGGGAGGCAGCAGUAGGGAAUCUUCCGCAAUGGGCGAGAGCCUGACGGAGCAACGCCGCGUGAGUGAUGAAGGUCUUCGGAUCGUAAAACUCUGUUAUUAGGGAAGAACAAAUGUGUAAGUAACUAUGCACGUCUUGACGGUACCGAAUCAGAAAGCCACGGCUAACUACGUG